ACGGGAGGCAGCAGUGAGGAAUAUUGGUCAAUGGGCGGAAGCCUGAACCAGCCAAGUCGCGUGAAGGAAGAAGGUAUUAUGUAUUGUAAACUUCUUUAGACGUAGAGAAAUAAGGGGAUCGUGAUCCCUGAUGCUAGUAUACGUAGAAUAAGGAUCGGCUAACUCCGUGCCAGCAGCCGCGGUAAUACGGAGGAUCCGAGCGUUAUCCGGAUUUAUUGGGUUUAAAGGGUGCGCAGGCGGUCUUUUAAGUCAGUGGUUAAAUCGUGGAGCUUAACUCCAUCCCGCCAUUGAUACUGGAGGACUUGAUUGCGGUUGAGGUUGGCGGAAUUCGCCGUGUAGCGGUGAAAUGCAUAGAUAUGGCGAAGAACUCCGAUUGCGUAGGCAGCUGACCAAGCCGCGAAUGACGCUCAUGCACGAAAGUGCGGGGAUCGAACAGGAUUAGAUACCCUGGUA
rnacentral:rRNA from 1 species